rnacentral:tRNA from 2 species
GGGCCCAUAGUAAAUCGGCAUUACGGAUCCAUGGCAUGGAUCAGGGCCGGGUUCGAUUCCCGGUGGGUCCACAA